CCUACGGGGGGCAGCAGUGGGGGAUAUUGCACAAUGGGGGAAACCCUGAUGCAGCGACGCCGCGUGAGUGAAGAAGUAUUUCGGUAUGUAAAGCUCUAUCAGCAGGGAAGAAAAUGACAGUACCUGACUAAGAAGCCCCGGCUAACUACGUGCCAGCAGCCGCGGUAAUACGUAGGGGGCAAGCGUUAUCCGGAUUUACUGGGUGUAAAGGGAGCGUAGACGGUUAUGUAAGUCUGGUGUGAAAGGUCGGGGCCCAACCCCGGGACUGCUUUGGAAACUGUGUAACUGGAGUACAGGAGGGGCAGGCGGAAUUACUAGUGUAGCGGUGAAAUGCGUAGAUAUCAGGAGGAACACCAGCGGCGAAGGCGGCCUGCUGGACUGAAACUGACGUGGAGGCUCGAAAGCGUGGGGAGCAAACAGGAUUAGAUACCCUAGUAGUC
rnacentral:rRNA from 1 species